ensembl:lncRNA
CUGUCUUCUGACAAAACUGCUAACACCUUCGCUGUGCCACUGCAGCCAGUGCCUUUUCCAUCUGUACCGUGGGAAAAGGUAGCUAUUGAUGUGGUGGGCCCAUUCGAAACCGCUGAGUGAGACUGCCGUUAUGCGCUGACAUUGAUCGACUAUCACAGUAAAUGGCCUGAAGUCGCUUUCACUGCUUCCAUCACUACUCAAAGUGUGGUCACCUUCUUGUCAUCUGUGUUUAGCAGAUACGGAAAUCCACGAACGGUCGUGUCUGAUAACGGGGCUCAAUUCACAUCAGUAGAGUUUUCAAAAUUUCUGGAAAAGAGAGACAUUCAACACAUAUGUACUUCGUUGUACCACCCUGCUGCGAAUGGAGCUGUAGAACGUUUCCAUCGUGUGUUGAAAAGCUGUAUUCAGUCUGCUGUUCUGGAAGCGAAGCCGUGGAAAUCUACAGUCAGGGAAUUUCUCCAAGUGUAUCGUGCGACUCCCCAUUCUGCUACUGGACUUUCCCCGUUUGAGCUGCUUCAUGGCAGAAAGAUGCGAACGCGUCUCAAUAUUCUUCCUCCUCCCACCACAAAACUGGCAUGCUUCUCACCUGGCUCGUUCUGUUGCACCUGUUUCGGAGGCAAUUGACACAGGGGCUGUGGACUUGUCAUUUCAGCAUCUUUCUUCAUCUCCUCCUCCGGAGAUCCAAACUCCUGAAGCUCUUCAAAGGGUGUCUUCCCGGUUGAGACGACCUCCUCGUUGGCUGGAAGACUAUGUCACUUAGUCACCUUGCAUUGCGUGAUUAUCACGGAUGAGUAAUUCAUUACGUCAGUUUACGAUUGAUUUUAAAUGAAUGCUACGUCUAAAAAAAUCUUGUAAAGCUUAAUUUUGUUCUUUGAUCUGGUUACAAGUAAGUGUUAUAUAACAAGUGAAUGCUUUAGUAACUUGUGGUUGUGUUCCUUUUUUUUGUUUUUGUUCGUAAAUAUAGGGGUAAGUAGGUUGCUUUAAGUGAUGGGGGAAUAUGUUGUGUUCUUUUGUGCAUAUUGGCCAGUAGGUGGAAAUAGAGGUUCAUGAUAUACGUUUAGUUGAAUAGAGAAGAAGGAGAGAGUCCGAAGCAUCCCACCUGCUACUGCGUGUGCUGUACCACUCUGCUAUUUAAUUUGGUUAAAUAAAGGAUCUUGAUGUUCGAAUGCCUCCUCAUUGGUUCUUACAAAGGAUAUAACAAGAAGCAACAUUCAUAUCACUUCAGCCCACAAGAGCUAUUUGGUGCAUGUGCAACCCUGGAUUCAAAUGGACAACCUUAAAGUUUCAGAACCAGCAGCUUAGCAGAG